ACUCUCAGACCAACUUUCUUAGAUGUAAAUUUAGUUAGGUUUCUACAGUAAUACUGUAACUUUUAACUCUUACCAGUUUACUAUUUUCACUGUCUGGCUCUGAUACCAAAACGCGCCCGGAUCUACAGUGAAAACUUUUGAUAUUGUUUACAAUAAGUAUGUGAAUAUUAAGCUAUUAUACUUUACUAUUUCUUGUAAAAUUUUAUAAUAAUUG
rnacentral:lncRNA from 1 species